AUUGAACGCUAGCGGGAUGCUUUACACAUGCAAGUCGAACGAGUGGCGGACGGGUGAGUACUGUAUCGGAACGUGCCUAGUAGCGGGGGAUCACUACUCGAAAGUGUGGCUAAUACCGCAUACCAUGGGCUGACCCCAUGUGGGAUUAGCUAGUUGGUGGGGUAACGGCUCACCAAGCCCACGAUCCGUAGCUGGUUUGAGAGGACGACCAGCCACACUGGGACUGAGACACGGCCCAGACUCCUACGGGAGGCAGCAGUGGGGAAUUGUGGACAAUGGGGGAAACCCUGAUCCAGCCAUGCCGCGUGUAUGAGAAGGCCUUCGGGUUGUAAAGUACUUUUGGCAGAGAAGCGGUAUCUACAGAAUAAGCACCGGCUAACUACGUGCCAGCCGCCGCGGUAAUAC
rnacentral:rRNA from 1 species